AGUGAACGCUGGCGGUAGGCCUAACACAUGCAAGUCGAACGGCAGCACAGUAAGAGCUUGCUCUUACGGGUGGCGAGUGGCGGACGGGUGAGGAAUACAUCGGAAUCUACUUUUUCGUGGGGGAUAACGUAGGGAAACUUACGCUAAUACCGCAUACGACCUACGGGUGAAAGCAGGGGAUCUUCGGACCUUGCGCGAUUGAAUGAGCCGAUGUCGGAUUAGCUAGUUGGCGGGGUAAAGGCCCACCAAGGCGACGAUCCGUAGCUGGUCUGAGAGGAUGAUCAGCCCCACUGGAAAUGAGACACGGUCCAGACUCCUAAGGGAGGCAGCAGGGGGGAAUAUUGGACAAUGGGCGCAAGCCUGAUCCAGCCAUACCGCGUGGGUGAAGAAGGCCUUCGGGUUGUAAAGCCCUUUUGUUGGGAAAGAAAAGCAGCAGGUUAAUACCCCGCUGUUCUGACGGUACCCAAAGAAUAAGCACCGGCUAACUUCGUG
rnacentral:rRNA from 1 species